UUGACCUCGAAUCAGGUAGGGAUACCCGCUGAACUUAAGCAUAUCAAUAAGCGGAGGAAAAGAAACCAACCGGGAUUACCUCAGUAACGGCGAGUGAAGCGGUAACAGCUCAAAUUUGAAAUCUGGCUCCUACGGAGUCCGAGUUGUAAUUUGUAGAAGAUGCUUUGGGAGGUAGGGCCGGCCUAAGUUCCUUGGAACAGGACAUCAGAGAGGGUGAGAAUCCCGUAUGUGGCCGUGACCUACGCCCGUGUAAAGCUCUUUCGACGAGUCGAGUUGUUUGGGAAUGCAGCUCAAAAUGGGUGGUAAAUUUCAUCUAAAGCUAAAUAUUGGCCAGAGACCGAUAGCGCACAAGUAGAGUGAUCGAAAGAUGAAAAGCACUUUGGAAAGAGAGUUAAACAGUACGUGAAAUUGUUGAAAGGGAAGCGCUUGCACCCAGACUUGGGCGUCGUCGAUCACCCGAGGUUCUCCUCGGUGCACUCGACGAUGCACAGGCCAGCAUCGGUUUGGGUGGUUGGAGAAAGGCUCUAGGAACGUAGCUCUCUUCGGGGAGUGUUAUAGCCUAGGGCGUAAUGCAGCCCAUCCGGACCGAGGACCGCGCCUUCGGGCUAGGAUGCUGGCGUAAUGGUUGCAAGCGACCCGUCUUGAAACACGGACCAAGGAGUCUAACAUCUAUGCGAGUGUUUGGGCGUUAAACCCAUACGCGGAAUGAAAGUGAACG
rnacentral:rRNA from 1 species